ensembl:lncRNA
UUAAAUGCGAAGAGUCAUUACUUAAAUUUAUUUAACUUUAACACCAAUGAAGAAUAAAUAUUUCUUACUUUCAAACAUUCCUCUUCAUCACCACCAUUUUUAAUUAUUAUUUUUAUUUCAUUGCUAACCAAACAUGAACACAAGGUAGGCUUCACUGCAUUCUGUCUUUGCAAUUCUGAUUUCCAAUGAAUUGAUGCCAAUCAGCCAAGCUGAUCACAUCUAAUAAAGGAUGCAGAUUUUACUUCAUGCAUAUCUUACUGCUUCUCCAUUAGCUGGUUUGCAAACACACGCACAUCACAAAGCUGUACUUUGUCUAACACAGUCCACAUGCAAAAGAAGUGUUUUAUUUUUUCAAGUUGCAUUGUGGUCAGAGUUCCCAUUGAUGCCUGGAUUGCUCUUUUUGUUUUCAGUGGAUGGUAUUGUGGGUCAACCUUCUUGUUUUCAUAGUAGUUUUGGGAAAGCUUUAAUGUGAGAGUGUUAGGGGAAGAACAGGAGGUGAGAGCUGGUAAGAGGGAGACAGUUACUUGGGGUUUUGUAUGGUAAAGCAUCCAGGGUUUCAUAUUUGAGAAGAAGCUGCCUGUUCUUACUGUCAGUGAGAGAUUACUCCAUAAGAAUGCACUUUUCACAUAGUAGGGCACAUAAAUAGUUGCUUUUGUUUUGUUACCUCUUUAGACAGUGAAAGAAUGUGUGGCUCGUGGAAAGGAACAGCAAAGAAGGAGAAUAUUGUACAUAAGGAGAAAAAAACUGCAGAGAAGGAAAAGCUGAAAGAACAGGCUUAGAUGGCAGCAAGAAAGGAGGAGAUAUAAGGGUGGAGUUUAAUAGUAUUUCUAAACAUGUAUGCAACAGAACGACGACAAAGAUGAGAUACUUAGGAAUGGUAGAAGAUAAAGAAAUAUAAGGAUGUGCAGAAAAAUGUUGAGCUGGGAAAAAUAAAAAUAAAUAGAAAUAGGUGUUUCUGGAUAAACAGUGGGAAAGCAACCACUAUAUCAAAGGAGUGUCAGAAGACAAACUAUCUUUAUUUUUCAGGUUGAAAAGACUGCCUCCCAGUGGCCCAUCGAGUGAUGGAUGUAAUAGCUUUUGCGUGUUUCAGUCGGAGUUACUGUUGGUGCUUUCAAAGAAUGGUGUGGCAAAUAUCUAGAAGAAGGGAGUCCUGGUUGUUGUUGUUGUGAGUUUUUUUUAAAUAUAUUUCCUUCUUCUAUGUGUUUUUUAGUAAAAUGAGGUAUGGAUACCCAAAGAACAAGUGGAAUUAUUUACAGUCAUAUCAGUAUUGAAGUGUCAGCAGAAAAAUAAAUGACACUGAUUAUGUGGAGAUAUUUCUUAACAGAGUGAAUAGUGUUGUCCAUGGGAUAUUGUACUUUUGUCUUCUGAGAUAUUUGUAACUGAGAUGGGCAGAAGACCAGAAAGGUGACUGGUGAUAUGCUGAGAGUCUUGGCUGUGUGAGCGUGGGUGAUGCAGAACCACAGUGCUGCAUCAUGCACAGCACAACCAUUGCGUUGCUAUGAAAGCACAGCUUUUAUGAAAGCACUGCUUUCCCUGCAUUUGCAGUAGGUCCGUAUCUUACAUUAGGCUCAGAGAGAAGUAAUGUCGUGUGAAUUCGAAUCCAAGAAGUUGCAUUCCAGGCUGGAAUCUGCAGUGCAAUCAGGAUCUGACAGCUGCUUGUGAAAUGUCUGAAUAGAGAGGUUAUAUUCAGAAUUAUCCUUCAGCACCAAGUAUGGGCAUAAGUAUUUUUGUGCAUAAGGAUUUAUACAUCUCUUAUUAGUUGCACAUACCUAAACCCUCUUUACCCUGAGAUGCAUGCAGUGCUGGUUUUAGUUAUUCUUGGAGCUGAUCCUUUGGUAAAAACAUAUUUGGGAUGAUAUAAUCCCACAAUAGCUGUACACAUACUGCUGCUACACCCAGCUAUUAAAAAUACUUCUAAUUUCCAUUCAGUGAGUAUACUUGAUUUGUCUUCAUAGCUGUGGUUGUGGGAACGUGUUUGUAUUUUUCAUUAGCUUGCAUUUCCAAAUUGAGUUUUGUGUCAUCGGCAGAGAACAUCAGAGCCAAAUUUCUUCCUCAUUCCAGGGCCUGCAUGUGACAGAAAUUCUUUUUGAAGAAGGCCAGCUAAGUGGUCUUCCUGUUCAGAAAUGGUUCUGGAAAUCCCCCUGAUUCAUCCAUCCGUAAAUUUACAUUCCGUUUUUCACACAUGAACUAUACCUUAGUUCUCUAGAGCCUAAUGGGAUUAUCUGACUCUUAGAGGUAUUUAUUCCAUUGGGUUUUGGCUGACAGAGACCUAUACAUCCACCAGCUUGUUCUUUCUAGAAAUGUGCUUCCAUUAUCAGCACAGGGAUGGUAAGUCUAGCCCAGGGGUAGGCAUAUAGUAAAACGUCACAUCUAUGUGCUUCUGAGUUGCAGGGUAGUACGGAUUCGUGGCUGGGAGUCCAGAUCUUGGCAUGACGUAUGUUUUUAGCUCAUACUGAGAAGGUGGACCACAGUCUGGUCAGAACAACUUCAGGCUUAGAGUCAUUUUCACCAUCAAGACCAAGUCGUUUUGAUCAGGGCAUAUAUCAUAAAAUAUUACAAUAAUUAAUAAAGGACCGCCAGAUGGCGCCCACGAAUGCUGAGAGCAGAGCCAGCAGGGUCCUAUCGUCUUCUUUCCUGAACAUUUCUUCCAUGCAUCUCUGAAGAAUCUCUGCACAGCAUGUCUUCCUAAAUUAAUCUGCAAAACGGCAAGAGAUGCAUCCAACUGAUAACACUGAUUGCUAUGUGUAAGAGCUGAAACUGUCUGGAGGUUGGUUGUGGGGAGAAGUGGCUCUGCAGUACUGCAGGAUUCCAGUGGGAAUGGCCAUGGCCAAAGGAAAAAAUCCCUUCCUUGUUCCAGAUGAGGCUUUGCUUCAGUGCAGUGACUUCUGUGAAACAAACAUGAAUAGAAAACAAAGCCCUUAUAAAGCUUUGCAGAAGACCAGUUAAUUACAAGUAAUGUCUUGGGUGGGUCUAACUGGAAUGGUAUGUCAGGAAUGAGUUUUCUUGCUUAGUCAUGCUUCGCAACGUAUGUUCAAACAUUCUCUAUUACCCUUAUAAAAAUUGGAGAGAAUAAAAUAUCCUGCCUUAUCCCUUGCUUCUCUUGCUCUCAGCACUCAGAUGAAACAUACAGAGAGACUAAAAAUGCAUUAAAUAAGCACUCUUGAGGGAGCAGAGAACUCUGGGAAUAGUGCUCUGGCCUACUAAUUGUGAAGGAGCUGGAAAAAAAAGCAGCCCAGCCCUUUUUCACAUUUGGUUAAGCACAGUAUUUGCAAUGGCUUUUGCCUGACUUAGAGCUUUCUUUUUGUUCCUUUUCCCCCCUUUCUUUCCUUCUGGUUCAGUUAUCUCCCCAGUUCUAUGCAGACAUCCUUCACUGAUGUAUCCCAGGUGCCUUAAAUGUCAGUAGGACUGGAAAUAAAACUGUGACUGAUAAAACAAUGUUCAAGCCCUUGUGUAGUUCCAACCUAUCACAAUACAAUGUUUGAGUUUCAGGCAAUUUAUUCUCUAGGGCAGCAUUCUCUGCCUGAUUGAGAACAUUAUUGUUGGAUUCAAUAGGAAUGCCAUAGAGAGUGAGUCCUUAGCAUGUAUAUAUCCUUUACACCCAUUUUCAGUUGUUAUUAUGAUGGGGAUAGAAGAUAGUCAGAGCAUGUAAUUAUUGCAUGUUGCUUAGUGUCUUAAUAACAGCAAUAGAUUAGAGACAAUCCUGGGAACUAAAUUUCUCUUUGUGAAGUAGGGCUGUUGUAACACAGCCUGACUAGAAAGGGACAGAGGGACAAUGUGCACUGUUCUACACUUGGUUUCUAUGGAGAAAGAUAACACUGGUGACUAAGGACAAAAUGUCAGCAUCUUGAUUUUUAGCAGCUGAAUCUAUUCCGUCUGUCUCCUGCCAAAGAGCCUACUAAACCUUUUAUCAUUUUGCUGUCUGUGACACGAGGAGUUUGUCCCAUUUAUGCUAACAGCUUUACUGUAACAGAGUAGUGUGAAUACCUUUCAUUAGUCCUACAGACAAAUUCCUGUGUAGUAUAUGGAGCAUAAAUAGCUUAAAAUGUGUCCUCAGUGUAUUAUAGUAUGUAAUGUGUUAACUAUUUAUGUACAUUUAAUAUAUGGCAUAAAUCCAGCAUUACCGUUCUGUCGACAAUUAUUAUAUAAAAUGCCAUGCUGCUGAU